AGUACUGAGGCAGAAGAAUCUUUUCUUGCUGCUCUCCUAGGAUCUACCAACCAGAGAUUCUAAUGUGAUACGUUUGGAAUGGAGUUAUCGAUCUGCAUUUUUAAUAGGCAUUCCUCCAGAUGGAGAAAAGAAGAGUGGAGAAGUGAAGUAUCAAACUUGUAUGAGGUCACACAGCUAAAGACUACAGCUAGGAGAAUGUCCUCUAGCUCAGAAAUGACGUGAAACUCAAAAAGCAAUUCUAACAGUCUGCAUUUAUUCUUUUAGCUCAUUUGUGACCCAGAGAGUUUUAAUGUCUGUGAGUUCUAGAAUGUAUAAGAAAAAUUUACUCAGGCACUAUCCUUUGAAUUAGAACAUGGAACAACAAGGUCCUAUAAAUUGUGAUAAUUUAUCUUAUUUGAAAUCCCAGUUAUGCAGAGUGAUUUUUCAGUCACUUGCAUAAUUACAGAAACUUUGAGAAAUAUUAAGUAAUCGGUGGUGAUAUGACCAUGUUCAGAAACCAAAGGCCAAAAGAGAAGCCAAAUUGAAUAAACAAAAUUGUCUUAGUAAAUAGCAAAAUGUAGAGUUCCUCUGUAUUUGGAGGUAAAUUCUAAACAAUAAAACACAUGUGAUGUUUUGUUUUUUAAAAAGAUCACCUUAUUUAUUCUUAAACCAGGCUUACAAGCUACAAUAUAAUCUUUUAAAAUUAUAGGUAAUUACAAAAAGGCACAUUAAACUUCAGUUAAUCACAGUUGUUUCAAAAAUAUGUCCCUUCUCUUGACAAAGCAGUAACUCAGCCAAAACUUGGAUAAACUGGCAUUUCCUUAGAUCACAUGUUUCAUUCCUAAACACAAUGCCCCUUGUGUUUCUUUCAGGUGUCCAUACUUUCUCUGAAAAAUAGAUCUCCCCUUCCAAAGCUUGAGCAUUAUCUACUCUUUGUUUGAAAAUAAAUGCAUUGUUCAUGUGGGGACUAGUAACGCAGGUGUUUUACCUCUCUUUUCCCAGUCAGGCUGAUUCUUAAGCCUUUUAUGAAAUCAGUUCAGUUUAGUCAAAUCUCUGACAUCCACUUUUUAUUGCCAUUUCCCUUUAUGGCUAUAAUAUCAGCCCUAAAUACAACAAGAUCAUCUUUUAUUCCAUUAUGUUUACCUCUUUCUUCUACAACAGUUAUCUUAGAAGAUGUUUACAUUUUUAGUUAAUAUCUCAAGUCUUGCCAACAUUCUGCUUUCUUCUCACUUCUUGAAGACUAACUCUGGGGCAAGGCCAAAGUUCAGAUCAAGCAUUAAUAGUUCAAGUUGUUUUCAUUUUUCCUAAACUCCUUAAGGUACCCAGAUUUGCUCCUGUCACUGGAAAGCACUGUCUAAAAGCUUUGCAUGAAAUUAAACUCCCUGAGGUGUGACCAAACUGAAUAAAGCUGUGGAGGGAUGUAUUGAAGCAACUCUUCCUGAGUGAGGCAUGAGAAACACUGACAUUCUUAACACAGCAAGGAUUGGUGUUGGGUGUCAGGUAACUGAUUGUGUCUUCUGAAAUACAGAGUUUCAACCCCUCAUUUUAUUUCCAAACAAUCACUUUUAUGUUACUCUCUAGAGAAUGAGGAGGGUCGGAUCUUAGAUCAUGGGGCAUGCUAUAGCUGAGAACGGAAAAAGGGGAGCAGAAUUACUUAAAGACUUCAUCUCUUCAAUGCAGAGGAUAGUAAUUGAUAUUACUUAUCAAAGUAUCUCUUUUCUAGCUAUGCAACAUGAAGUUUCAAGCAAUUUAUUAUUGUCAUUGAUGUCUCAAUUGUGUACAUAAUCCCCUUUUCCUGUCAUUUACGAUACUAAAAUAUACUUUAGUAAAAUAUAGUACAUAUUUUAGGUUUUUAUCGUAUUGUUUUCAUGGCUAAGAGAUUUAACAAUUUCAUCUUUUAUUAUAAAUGUUAGAAGGUUUAUGUGAAAAUAGUGAAUAAUCAGUAAAUAAUCUAGCUUCUUUUUCUAAUUGCAAUGUUUUUCUUAAUAUGACAAUGUACUGAAAGCUUUGUUGAUUAAAAGUGGAAUGUAACACGUUCAUAGUGUAUAUUAUUGCUUCUUUGUCCAGUUUGCCAAAUGUAACUAAUGUGAACUUAUUCAUAAAACACACUAUGCUGUUAUGAGUGGCUGCAGAGUUCCUUUACAAUAUUGCAGCUUCAUUUUAAAAACAAGUACACAUUUCUUCAGUUGUCCAAAAAACAUUCUGUAGGAAUUAGAAAUCCAUUUCAAAAUGGAUUUUACUUUAUAUGUUAAGAUUGAUAAUUCUACAGAAAAACUUAAACCAGAGUUUGGUAUUCAUAUUUUACACUGGCAAUACUCUGUAACACUGGGUGCUAUAGUUCAUAUGGACAAUAAGAUGGAGCUCAGCAUUAUGUGAAUAUAUUAAGGAGAUUUAAUUACAAGGAGGUACAUGACCCUGGCCUCAAGGAAAGUGUUAAUCAAGACAUUUGAGUGUUUAGAGAUUUUGAUAUCAAUGGCUGAAAUGAAUUUGUAAAGCAUAAUUAUAAUAUGGAACCUCCACUCAAGCAUAAUCUCACCUUUCUUCAGUUAUUCUUAAGCAUAGGUCACUUAUUUAUGCUUGAGUCAGCUGAUUUCAAAACUCCUACUUCAUAGCCCCUUGGGCCAGCUAAAGAAAGCUUUCUUCACUGCAUAUAUGGGAAAUAGCACUCUGAAACCCCUUGCUUGAAAUGGAGAAAGGGAAAAAAAACCCCUCUAUAUUUCCAGCAUUUUGAAGUUCAAAUUUGCAAACACAAUGUAUCCAAAAUUUCUAAAGUUUUAGUUAAGCUGCAAAUACACUAGGUAAAUUGAUUUAACAAAUAUUUUUUCUUUUUCAACUUUGUUGAGGAAUAAUUUAUGCAUAAUAAACUGCAUGUAUUUAAAGUGUACAAUUUGAUGAGUUCUGACAAAUUGUAUGCACCUGUCCACAAUCAGAAUACAGAACAUGUCCAUCACCCCACAAAGAUUCCUUGUGCUCCUUUGCAGUUCCUCCCUUUUUCUAUACUCUAUCCUCACUUCCACUGAUCUGCUUUUUAAAUUUUUAUUUUGUUUUAAUUUUAGAGACAGAGUCUUGCUCUGUCAUCCAGGCUGGAGUGCAGUGGCAUGAUCAUAGCUCACUGUAAUCUCAAACUCCUGGGCUUACAUGAUCCUCCUGCCUCAGCCUCUGGAGUAGCUAGGACCACAGGUACAUGCCACCAUGCCUGGCUAAUUAAAAAUUUUUUUUUGAAGAGACAGGGUCUUGCUAUGUUGUCCAGGCUAGUCUCAAACUUCUGGCUUGAAGGGAUCCUCCCAUCUCAGCCUCAUCUCUAUUUUAUUUGUGCUUUAUACAAAUGGAAUUAUAUAAUAUUUACUAUUUUGUGCCUGGUUCCUUAAUUCCACAUAAUGAUUUUAAGACUCAUCCAUAUAUUGUUGCACAUAUCAAUAGUUCUUUCCUUUAUAUUGCUGAGUAGUAUCCCAUUGUAUAGAAGUACCCACAUUUUGCUUAUCCAUUCACAUGUUAAUGGACAUUUGGGUCAUUUCCAGUUUGAGGUUCAAUCAACACAUACUUACUGACCACUAUUAACUGUCCAGGCAAAUGUUCUAAAGAAAAAUGGGAGACCAUGGGAAGCAAAAUAGUCAAAAUCAUGGCCAAAAUGGAGAUUACUGGAGGGGAUGGAUAUUAUGUAAACAAAUAUAAAGCAUGCCUGAUGAGGAGAAUAAAGCAGGAUAAGAGAGAAAGGAAAUCCAGAAUUGAGGCAGAUUCUGUUUUCUAUAGG
rnacentral:lncRNA from 1 species